AUGAUGCAACGAACUCCAAGAUCCACGAUAAAAUCUCCCGAUUACGCGAAGCAAUACACGUAACCUGGAGAUGGGGUUACAACGACUAACGGACAAUCACUCGAUACACGAGGAACCUCCCAUCGUAGUAGACGUAACCAGCGUGCAACCCGUUGGUGACGACGGACCACGAGCCAAGUGCAGCUUUCACGCAGAAAAUUUAGACAAAAUAAAUAACAACGACACCCAAAUAGGGCCGCUUAAUAUUCGAUACACAUGUUGUCUAACCUGUAGAAAAUAACCUAAUCUCUUACAAUGACCCACACCUAGACUUUAUAGAAGUAGCUUUCCAAAACACACACGCACACAUAUUUUCUAAACUCUAGACUCUUUCUUAAUUUAAACUAACAUCAGGAUCGGCACCUUGGUGGCCCCCAUCCAAUCUCCUUCAAACAUGUGAGAUCCCACGCAAGGAACUUCCUGAUGCUGGUGGACUCUUCUGGUGGUCGACCCUAACAGAAGUAGCAGCAGUUCUAGUCUCUACUUCUUACAUCUGAAACAAUCUUUGGUUUUCUUCUAAUUAACAUACACGUGUUCACUUUCCAAAUAUCUCCACGUUGCAUUUGUACUGGUCCUCUUGGAAUCUCAAGAAAAUAAUGAACUUCACCACUUAAUAACUUGUACGUUUGGGAGGCCUGAGUAUGUUGUCUUCCUGAUUUUUUUCUCUCGCUAAUCGGCUUGCAUGCAUGCAUCUGAUCCAUCUUUGCUUGAUUUGUAUCUAAGCCAUGCAAGGCACCAACAUGCAUGCAUGUAAUUUUAACUAUAGCUGCAACUUCCCCAUGAUACUUCUCACCAAAGCAAACCUAUUUUUGUACGCACACAUCUCUGUCCUCAAAACCAUUGUCAUGCGGAAAAGUUUGAUGAACAUUGAAACAACUAACAGGGUAUUCAGGAUGAUCCUUUUGAAUUGUUCUACAAGCUGAUACAGUCGCUCAUUGAGGAACAGAAGAACACAAUCAGAAAAAUGGGCCUUGGUUCUUUGUUGGAAUUAAAGUGUUCUUUUUAUCCUAUUGGAAUAUACCAUUGGCUUGCAUUCCAUUUUGAUACAGUCACAAGAACAAUUAAUCUUGAAAACGGUUUCUCAUUCAACAUCACACCCAAUUCUAUUCAGAUUGUGUUAGGAAUACCAAUGGGCAGGAAAUUCUUGACAAGAAUUGUUCUAUAGAAAAUUACAUUUUGGUUCAUGGUAUCAUAAAGUGGGAAGGAAAUUCUCCAUCUGUGAAAGACUAGUGUUUAAUGAUAAAACCAAACAUGCAAAUUGAUAUGUGUACAAAGAUAUUCUUUCUUCUUGUGAUGACUUCAUUUCUGUGACUUCUUCACAAUAUUACAGUGCUGCAUGAUGCUAGACUGCCUUAGUGACUUUAGUCUAUGCUCAUUUGUUCUUGAAUGGUUGACUGUUGAAAUUGAAAUAUUCAAGUCAACACUAAGGAGUAGGAGAUUGGAUGCAGGUGGUUGCAAUCUCUUAUUAGUAGCAUCAUAUUUUGAAUUUCUCAAAACUUCAUAAUUCAUUGUUGGCUACCAAAAUACCCAGGAUUAGUCUAUGGACUACAGAUAUAGUCAAAUCAUAUAUAGCUCUUGACUCAGAAGAUUGUUCGUCUCAGUCAUUUGGAAGAUUAACUGACAAAUUGAACCUGCAAGUAAUGACCCAGAAUUUCUUCCAAAGAAUGACUGAGCAUUCAAUUCCAAUUGUCAAGACAUAUGUAGAUGAUAUGUUGCAAGUUCUUGUCGGCAACCAGGACUCCAACAAACACUUGCGUGUUGUUGCGCCUCCCAACAGGAUCUCAGUUUUCUCUCAAGUAGACCUUUCUUCUAUAUUUGAGAAUUUCUGCUUAGAAAUACCAGUGCCGUAAUUUGUUGAUGAACCAGUACUUGAAUCUGUCUUGAAAGUGAUCAUAACAAAUAUGGUGACCACAUUCCUCGAAAGUGAGAAUGGUACUGUCUUGUUAAGAGAAAUGGGCUGACAUUUACAAAGAUCUUCUAGGUCCUAAAAGAAUUGAACUUCCAGUUCAAAGACAUGAAGAAUACAAGUAUGUUUGAGACAUUGGUAUGACAAAAGAAUUGUAUGCUCAGUUAUUCCCAAAAGAACAAAGCACAUUCUUAAAAAUGAAUGAAUCUGUACAUGAACAAUUAAGAUGGAAGGACGUCACAGUGGAAACACCCCUUGCAUCUCCUCAUGGCAGACAUCCUGAAUUGCAAAGGAGUUCAAGUUAUCAAAUUGAAAGGAAUGAGUUGACAGUACCUACAUCCACUUGCAAAAUGUUGACCAACAGAAGUAGUUUAGGUGAAGAAAACACCAUUCUACAUAGGUGAUAAGCGGGGUCUAUCAUUGAAUGAACAUCUCGUUGGUCCUAAAACUAAUUGUGUGCUAGUAGAAACAUUCUAUGGAGAACAAUCUUUUGAUCUGUUUGAAGAUUUUCCUCCAAAAGCAAUUGCCCAAAGUAGCUACCACACUAGUACUGCUACACAUGCAGUUCCAAAUGCAGUAGGUUCUUCUUCUUGUAGAGACACGAAACCAACCCAGGGUGGUUGUUUUCUAGACCCAAUUCCCUCUAGUUCUAAACCAAGUUGCUCAAAGCCAAGGUUUGAUGCCUACACAGGUCUAGUUUCUGGUUCUAGUGCCACACUACACAUACUAGUAUUCAAAGAGUUUCCCCAUCUCAGACAAAGCCAUGCUUCAGGCACUUGAGCAGUAUGAAAACACAUUCCAGAAUACAGUUGUGUUGUUCAACACACGUGCUGAAGGAAGUUUCACAAGGGCCAGCUUAUUGUGCAAUACAAGGGAAACAACUAUAACACAAAAACACUUCUCUACAUCUAUUGAGAAUGAAUUAUACAAUACUCUCCCGUCCUACUUGGGAAAAAUUGAGUACAGCCCUUGUAUUUUCUAGAUAGAUCAUAGAUGGUUGAUCAGAAAACAUUAACUCUAUCAAUGAUGGAAGAUGGUUGGAUGCAUACGCGUGUGAUGGACUAUUUCUCAGAUCUUGUUAUGUCUAAUCAGUACAUGCGACAGAAGAAUGGCGAAGGCUUACCAAAUGAAGUUUUAACACACGUUAUUCAGACAUUGUUGGAAUCAUUUGACACAGGCAUCUACGUCUGGAAGUAAUUUACAAGUUACAGCGGCAUCGAAACUGAUGUUUUCUCAAAAGUUUGUAUUAUUCUUUUAUUUAAAACAAUGUUUCAAGUUAUUCUUUUGCUGAAUAUCAUGACACAUUGAGGUGCAGAACUAAUUUCUUGUUACCCAUAUUAAUCUUUAGGUAGAUGUGCAAGCUUUACGAGAGAAAUUUGUGUUCCAAUUGCUUCAAACAAGUACAACAGAAUAAAACUACCAUUUGUGAAGGACUUCCUAGAAAAA